rnacentral:rRNA from 1 species
CCUACGGGAGGCAGCAGUGGGGAAUCUUGCGCAAUGGGCGAAAGCCUGACGCAGCAACGCCGCGUGCGGGAAGAAGGCCUUCGGGUUGUAAACCGCUUUCAGCAGGAACGAAAAUGACGGUACCUGCAGAAGAAGGUGCGGCCAACUAUGUGCCAGCAGCCGCGGUGAUACAUAGGCACCAAGCGUUGUCCGGAUUUAUUGGGCGUAAAGAGCUCGUAGGCGGUUCAGUCAGUCGGGUGUGAAAACUCUGGGCUUAACCCAGAGCCUGCACCCGAUACUGCUGUGACUAGAGUUCGGUAGGGGAGCGGGGAAUUCCUGGUGUAGCGGUGAAAUGCGCAGAUAUCAGGAGGAACACCGAUGGCGAAGGCACCGCUCUGGGCCGAAACUGACGCUGAGGAGCGAAAGCAUGGGUAGCAAACAGGAUUAGAUACCCUGGUAGUCCAUGCCGUAAACGUUGGGCACUAGGUGUGGGUUCCAAUCAACGGAAUCCGCGCCGUCGCUAACGCAUUAAGUGCCCCGCCUGGGGGAGGUACGGUCGCAGACUAACUAAAGAAGUAGACGCGUGAGACGUGCCGACGGACGACGACGAGGGAGAGG